AUUGUUUCCUUUUUUUCCAUACUCGUUCUUCUUAUGACACAUCCCACAGAGGACGAAGCCCACACUGCGUAAAAAAAAUCUCGAUCCCCUCCUCUCUCUCCGAUGCAUCCAGUCGGUAGCACCCGGCGGCUGCCAGAUCCGUCCUCCCUUCGGAUCCACCAGCUCGACACUCUCCGCCACCGCCUUGCCCACCAUGGCGGCCAGCAAGGCGUCCCUUGGCGUUCGGCCAUCCCUGUACGGCGGCAUCAUGUCAGCGGCUGCAUCCAACUCUACUAUCGCCCGUCGGCCGCGUACAGGUCUUUGCUCUCUGCCAUCGGCCGCCUCCACCAUGUCUCCAGCUCCAUGCUGCCCGACUUGACAUCCUCUGCAUCAUAGUCAUCUUGGUUGCCGACGAAAGCUAGCUCUUCCUCCUCUGGGAUCGAUUUCACCUUCAUCUUGCUCUGCCACGGGUGGAUCUUCAGCCCCCUCGCAUAUGUGUUAUCCGUACUAUACUCCAGCCGGCUGGACGUGCAUGUGACGUGGGUGGCUUGACGUGCGCGUUCUAUUGGCAUAGGAAGCGGGCGGUUGUAGGCAGAGAAAGUUGCUGCCUACUUGCAGAGGGGAUUAGGAUUGUGUAUCAUAAUUAGGCGAGCUCAUUUGAUCUGUUUUGGUCUGGAUUAGUUAAAUCGUGAAUUGAUAAUUGUUUCUUGGUGCAGGAACUUUAAGUCAACCGGCUUGACGGCAACACGUACUAUGAGUUUCUUCCUAAAUCUGAAACUAUUUGGCCCAUAAAUUGUAAUCCCCUUGAGAAAGUUAGAGUCUUUAUGGAUCGGACUGGGUAAUGGAUGUUGACAAAUUUGAUUGCAGCAGGACCGGCAAACAAAGUGCAGUGCUCACCGUUGUAGAUAUAUUCAGGGUAGCAUCAAACUUCAGUGAAAAUGAGCAUUACUAGGCAGCGAGCUUCAUGCAUCAUUGGAUUUGAGAAUUCUGUACUAUGGUGAAUUAUUUUUGUUUCUUGGAGACACUAACAAUAGCUUCUUAUUAGUGCCCAUGGUGAAAGAGCUACGAAACUACUGUGUGGACGACGCAUGCCCGGACGACAGCGACACGAUGCGCAAUCCAGCCGCUCACAUGCGCUGGAUGGUAAGCAUGGACGGGCUGAUAUGUGAUGUCGUGCACAAAUCGGUUGACAGCGUCGUGUGCAUAGCAGCUCUCAAGAGCUAUAUUGGUGUGCCUUUCUUGGAUUCAGAUUCUUAUAUUCGAUAUUAGCUACCUGCAGGAGUAAUAUUUACCGACGAUGCUCAAUAUGGCUGAACCUGCCGGCUGCACGCGGUACAUGCUCACGCGCGACAACGGUCCGCACAUGUAUGCCGCGUCAGAGGUGUCGCUACGGCUCAUCGCUGAGCUGCACCUAUGAGCACAUGUUUGCGCCUGACUGCCUUGGCCCGCUCAUGGCCAUCGCAGACACUGUCAUAUUCAAAGAUUGAUUGAUCUGGUGCUCUGGAUCAUAGCUACACGUAGGAGUUAGUUCUGGCGCCUAAUUUGUGAAAAGGUUCCGAGGUUCUAUAGACAUUACUUCUUCUUGUUUUAUACUUUGUCUGAAUUGAGAUUUCAUUCCUAUUUUUUUCAAAAGUUAGUUGUAUCCAACAACAACAUAAUACAUGCUCACUGGGAUGUUUUGCUUUGAAUUUUUGGACAUUACAUGCGAAAGCCGUAGCAACCGAGUGCUCAUUAAACUUUCUUAGCGUAAAAGGUCCAGAACUGAUAAACAUGUAUGUUGGAGAAUCAGAGAAGAAUAUCAGGGACAUCUUUGAGAAGGUUAGAUCAGCACGCCCAUGAGUAAUUUUCUCCGAUGAGCUUGAUCCCCUUGCUUCUGCACGAGGGUCCUCUCGCAGAUUCUGGAGGUGUGAUGGACAUAGUGGUGUCUCAAAUAUAAUUAACCUCAUCAAUGAGGUGGUGACUGGUGUCUCGGUUUUUCCUCUCUUUUUUUACCUGUGCCUCAGUUUUCCUUCUUAUUUUCUAUGUUUAAAUGUUGGGUAAACUAAUUCAGUUUCCCUUUCUCUCUCUUUACUAGCACAAAUGCCUGAUGGAGAUGCAUAUGUUUGGCAUUCCAUCAGUAAACAUACACUUGUGUACUACAUUUUGUGAUUGUGUAGUAUCCACACCACUACUAAUGCUAAAGUCUGUUGCCUUGCCGUGUAA